UACAUGAAGUUGGAAUUGCUAGUAAUCGCAGAUCAGAAUGCUGCGGUGAAUACGUUCCCGGGCCUUGUACACACCGCCCGUCACACCAUGGGAGCCGGUAAUACCCGAAGUCAGUAGUCUAACCGCAAGGGGGACGCUGCCGAAGGUAGGAUUGGCGACUGGGGUGAAGUCGUAACAAGGUAUC
rnacentral:rRNA from 1 species